UGGGGAAUAUUGCACAAUGGGCGCAAGCCUGAUGCAGCCAUGCCGCGUGUAUGAAGAAGGCCUUCGGGUUGUAAAGUACUUUCAGUCGGGAGGAAGGUGGUAAGGUUAAUAACCUUAUCAAUUGACGUUACCGACAGAAGAAGCACCGGCUAACUCCGCGCCAGCAGCCGCGGUAAUACGGAGGGUGCAAGCGUUAAUCGGAAUUACUGGGCGUAAAGCGCACGCAGGCGGUCUGUCAAGUCGGAUGUGAAAUCCCCGGGCUCAACCUGGGAACUGCAUUCGAAACUGGCAGGCUAGAGUCUUGUAGAGGGGGGUAGAAUUCCAGGUGUAGCGGUGAAAUGCGUAGAGAUCUGGAGGAAUACCGGUGGCGAAGGCGGCCCCCUGGACAAAGACUGACGCUCAGGUGCGAAAGCGUGGGGAGCAAACAGG
rnacentral:rRNA from 1 species